UUCUUAGUACAUGUACAUACAAACUUCAUUUUUUCAACAAAAAAACAAAUUUUAGUGUAUUGAAG
rnacentral:sRNA from 1 species